GGACGCGACGAGCUACACCGUAGAAACUCCCCGAGCCAUCCUGAAUCUAACCCACCUCCUUCCGCCGGAGGCAGCCGUCGUGGGCGAGCGAGCGACGGCGUCAGCCGGAGCGACAGAACCGCGGCGCCGUGACUGGUCGCCGACAGAGCCCAUCGAACUGAACCUCCCCGCGGCCCACCACUUCUUCCACCUUCCUUAUUCCGCAGCGAGUGGAUCGACCGCACCGACCACUGGCCUCACCACCGCGCCGCCGCCUCCCUCCCCACGCGCCGCCGCCUCCCUCCCCGCGCGCAGUGCCUCCCGACCUCAUCCUCCCUGCCCCCGCCUCCUCCGCUUCGCCAGCGCGCCUCCACCUCCCGGCCGCCGGUGCGGCUCCACCUCCUUGUCCCGGCCGGCCAGGUGAUGCGAGCGCACGGUUCGCGCGAGGCCCGGCCGCCAGGCACCCUUUCGCCAUCUGGCGUGACACCAUGGGUAAACUAGAGAUGGAGCUAUUCCAGCACCGGCACCUACGACGUCAGUCCACCGACGUGCUUGGCACCAUCCACAACUCCAUCGCGCUCGAGCUUAUGCUCCAGCUCAUCUUCUUCAACGUUCCGGCCAUGGUUCCCCACUGCCAACACGAGAUCCCAACCACUUCUUCUGUAAAAACUGAAGUUAUCUGUCGGAUUAGCUCCUUCACCGGUUUCUUAAGAUGGGAUGUUCAGAGUUUGAGCAAGCAAAGCACACUUGCACGUCGACUGUGCUCAGCCACCAACAAUAACUUGGGUAGAGGAAAUUCGAUGAUGAAGGCAAGAAGGUUUCUAUGCUUAGCAUGACCACUGAUAUCUUCACAGUUAUAACAUUGAUUUUUAAAAUGCUUCGAUUACACGUCAAAGGAAUCGCGAAAAACCAAGUUGUCGUCUAUGAUCCGAUCAGGAAAUGGAUGGACAACUGCUACCGCGGGGUACCCCUUGGCGGACUAGGAUAAGUUCUUUUGAUGUUUCGGAUCCUGAUUUUGCUCUGAGACUUACCAUGGUUGUGUUGUGACAUUCAUGCAUGGCUCUCCAGCUGACUGAACUUCAGAUGACGGUUUUAUUCAAAGUGCAUUCUCUUCUCCUUCUUUUCAGUUUAGGAAGCAUAGGGAGAAGCUACCGAGGGUACUUUCAGCAGUUUCAAAUAUUCCCCAGGAUCUAUGAAGAGAAGCCUGUCCUUGCCAACCAGUUCCAAGCUCGCCUUUUCGAUGCGCAAAAUGAUGAGGGAUAAAGCUCUGGUCAGAGACUUUCUGCAUGCGAGACAAUGGGUUCUGCAACAACAAGUUUUGAUUAUAUUGAUACCUAAUAAUAGCAUGUGCUCAUUUUUGAAUUGAAACAAAAAGAGUCUCUCUAAUAAUAAAUGGGCUCUCUAAUAAUGAGUUCUAAGGAAAUAAAUAUAGAAGUUCAUAUUUCAAAACGAAUGAAGUAUUUUGGAAGUAUAAUAAACUAUUUCAAAGUACACAAAUUAUAUUUAGGUAUCUUUGUGUACUUCAACGUUACUGUACAUGAACUUGUUCUUUUUACGUGAACUUGUACAUUUGCCCAUCCGUUAAACAGUUUGAGUUGCACUUUUUUUUGCCAUAUUUGAUCUAUCAUAUUUCUCUAGUUCCAUCUCGUUCGUGAGUUCUUUUGACCGAGAGCUAGUAAGAUCAAACAUGAAUUUACAUCAGUUAAAAAAACAUAUUGUUGGGAAAUAAGAUUAAGACCAGAAACAAGAAAAUAUGUACAAAAAGAAAAUUAAAAACUGUUUCAUUUGGACCUAUAUAAGAAAACAAUUUGCUGAUCACUAUGAAUUUAAAUAAAAACUUAGAAAAGUUUGAAAAAAAUCACAUAGAAAGUUCGAAGUCCAAAACCUGGCAAGUUCAUGGUAAAAACAAAAAAAGGCAGAAAAGGUACAAUUUAGUUUUCAGUGUACCUAUAAUGUCUAGUUUUUCUUUCAGCUCAAUUCCUAGAUUUCAUUCAGUUCAAUUCUUAUGUAGGUACUUGGUGGUGGCAUUGCUUCACUUCCCUUGUUAUGCUCUCUUCGCCCAUGUUCCGAGAAUCAAGAAAACAAAUACUAGUGCUUGCAUGAAAAUGUAUGAGCAAAAAUACCCACAAAGGCUUUUGCGUAGAAACAUCACCUCCAUUCAUGCGCAGUACAUGCUUCUCCUGCCGCCGCGCCACCUGGAUCUAACGAGGCUACGUCACACUGGCCCCGGAUCCGCCCGCUUCCAAUGAGGUUGCGUCACCCGCCGGCGCACCUCUGCCUCACCGUGGGCAGUGGAUGCUCCUCCGCAGCUCAACCUCCUGGUAGCGGGUAGUUUGAUGCUCCCUGUCGCGCUACGAUCAGCGCUCCCUCGAGCUCCACAAGAAAUUCUUUCCGGCUGCGUCUGCACCUCUGAAAAGCUCACACACUCGAAGGAGGGAUCAUUGUUUCUUAUUGGAGAAGGCCUGGUGUUCAGUUGGUGUAUGUGUGGUACCUACACCAGCAUUUUCCAUCAAGACCUCCAGAAAGAGAGAUCAUCUCAAGAUCAUGCAAGUUCAACUAUAUAACCGCAUGCAUGUCUCCCUUAGUCCGACUAUUGCUGCUGCUUCAAAUCACAAAAUUUGAUUCAGCCAGUAAGUUGGUGCUAGUGGAUCAAGUCCAGAGCAACUAUUUUUAUGUUGGUUGUUACAAUAUUGUUUGAGUGAAGAACUACAUGGAAGUAUAGCAUAAUGUAGGAGCUUUGAUUUACAAAAAAAUAAGGCACCACCACCAGCCAGUCCACCAUGGUUGCUGGCAGCCGUCCAAGUUGAGCGUUGAUGGUAGUCCUCUGCGUGCAUCAACGGCACUCUCUCAUUGUCGCCGCCUAGCCCGCGCCCACAGCCAUCCACCUCACCUCCUGGACAUCACCGUCAAAAGCCUCUCUCUACCACCACGCCUGGUAGUUGAACUUACACGGGAUGACCUGUGACCAACUACCACCACAUUACUUUUUUUCCGCUUCCGUAACAUUUUUUUUGCACUUACGGGAUGAACAUCACAAGGCCGACCGCACUUCUUUUAGAAUGAAAACCGUACUACAUCGGACGGGCAAGCGAGCUGCAUAAUUUCUUUUGUCGGACGUUAUUUUUCUCA